rnacentral:rRNA from 1 species
UAGGGAAUCUUCCGCAAUGGACGCAAGUCUGACGGAGCAACGCCGCGUGAGUGAAGAAGGAUUUCGGUUCGUAAAACUCUGUUGUUAGAGAAGAACAGCGCAUAGAGUAACUGUUAUGCGUGUGACGGUAUCUAACCAGAAAGCCACGGCUAACUACGUGCCAGCAGCCGCGGUAAUACGUAGGUGGCAAGCGUUGUCCGGAUUUAUUGGGCGUAAAGCGAGCGCAGGCGGUCAAUUAAGUCUGAUGUGAAAGCCCCCGGCUCAACCGGGGAGGGUCAUUGGAAACUGGUUGACUUGAGUGCAGAAGAGGAGAGUGGAAUUCCAUGUGUAACGGUGAAAUGCGUAGAUAUAUGGAGGAACACCAGUGGAGAAGGCGACUCUCUGGUCUGUAACUGACGCUGAGGUUCGAAAGCGUGGGUAGCAAACAGG